rnacentral:rRNA from 1 species
GACGAACGCUGGCGGCGUGCCUAAUACAUGCAAGUAGAACGCACAGUUUAUACCGUAGCUUGCUACACCAUAGACUGUGAGUUGCGAACGGGUGAGUAACGCGUAGGUAACCUGCCUGGUAGCGGGGGAUAACUAUUGGAAACGAUAGCUAAUACCGCAUAAUAUUAAUUAUUGCAUGAUAAUUGAUUGAAAGAUGCAACUGCAUCACUACCAGCUGGACCUGCGUUGUAUUAGCUAGUAGGUGAGGUAACGGCUCACCUAGGCUACGAUACAUAGCCGACCUGAGAGUGUGAUCGGCCACACUGGGACUGAGACACGGCCCAGACUCCGACGGGAGGCAGCAGUAGGGAAUCUUCGGCAAUGGACGAAAGUCUGACCGAGCAACGCCGCGUGAGUGAAGAAGGUUUUCGGAUCGUAAAGCUCUGUUGUAAGAGAAGAACGGGUGUGAGAGUGGAAAGUUCACACUGUGACGGUAUCUUACCAGAAAGGGACGGCUAACUACGUG